rnacentral:rRNA from 1 species
CUCCUGGAAACGGGUGGUAAUGCCGGAUGCUCCAGUUGGAUGCAUGUCCUUCUGGGAAAGAUUUCAUCGGUAUGGGAUGGGGUCGCGUCCUAUCAGGUAGUCGGCGGGGUAACGGCCCACCGAGCCUACGACGGGUAGCCGGCCUGAGAGGGCGACCGGCCACAUUGGGACUGAGAUACGGCCCAGACUCCUACGGGAGGCAGCAGUGGGGAAUAUUGCACAAUGGGCGCAAGCCUGAUGCAGCGACGCCGCGUGCGGGAUGACGGCCUUCGGGUUGUAAACCGCUUUUGAUCGGGAGCAAGCCUUCGGGUGAGUGUACCUUUCGAAUAAGCACCGGCUAACUACGUGCCAGCAGCCGCGGUAACACGUAGGGUGCAAGCGUUAUCCGGAAUUAUUGGGCGUAAAGGGCUCGUAGGCGGUUCGUCGCGUCCGGUGUGAAAGUCCAUCGCUUAACGGUGGAUCCGCGCCGGGUACGGGCGGGCUUGAGUGCGGUAGGGGAGACUGGAAUUCCCGGUGUAACGGUGGAAUGUGUAGAUAUCGGGAAGAACACC